rnacentral:rRNA from 1 species
UGAGGAACAUGACUUUCGGCGGGGGAUAGCCGGCCCAACGGCCGGGUAAUACCGCGUACGACCUUUCGGGGACAUCCCCGGUUGGUGAAAGCAGCAAUGCACCGAAAGAGUGCCUCGCGGCCUAUCAGCUAGUUGGUGAGGUAACGGCUCACCAAGGCGACGACGGGUANCUGGUCUGAGAGGAUGGCCAGCCACAUUGGGACUGAGACACGGCCCAGACCUCCGUACGGGGAGGCAG